rnacentral:rRNA from 1 species
CCUACGGGAGGCAGCAGUGAGGAAUAUUGGUCAAUGGGCGGGAGCCUGAACCAGCCAAGCCGCGUGAAGGAAGAAGGCGCCAAGCGUCGUAAACUUCUUUUGUCGGGGAACAAAGGGCGCCACGUGUGGCGUUGUGAGUGUACCCGAAGAAAAAGCAUCGGCUAACUCCGUGCCAGCAGCCGCGGUAAUACGGAGGAUGCGAGCGUUAUCGGGAUUUAUUGGGUUAAAGGGGUGCGGAGGCGGUCCGGAAAGUUAGCGGUAAAAGCACGGGGCCCAACCCCGGCGGGCCGUUGAAACUGUCGGACUAGAGACGGCGAGAAGUACGCGGAAUGCGCGGUGUAGCGGGGAAAUGCAUAGAGAUCGCGCAGAACUCCGAUUGCGAAGGCAGCGUACCGGCGCCGGACUGACGCUGAGGCACGAAAGCGUGGGUAUCGAACAGGAUUAGAUACCCUUGUAGUC